rnacentral:lncRNA from 1 species
AAGAACGGACCAAAGCAACAACGAGCCGAAGCAAAAAAAACAUGCGGGUUGAGUUUUGGGUCGAAAAAAUACGCGGGUUGAGCUUUGGGUCGAAAAAACACGCAGGUUGAAAUAAAACCAAAGCAAAGAUCAGAUGCAAAACUUUCAUUUUCUCUCUCCAACUUUUCCCUCCCUCUCCCCUCUUUCAUAGGAUAUCGGUAGCAGACGGAAGAGUUAAGGUAAAGGCCAACGAAAGGUCUCCAUAGCAAACGGAUCGAAAGGUAAAGUUCCAUAAUUUUAUUGGGUUUGUAAUUUUUGUUUAUCGCGUUAAAAAUCUAGGGUUUGUUCUUUACUUUCUGACCCUUAAAGAGUCUCAUCUUCGUCGUUGGGAGAGUCAGUGGCGUCGGCGUCGAUAACAGAUAUCGUACAACUCGUGGCCCGCCGGUAUUCAGUUCGGUCAUCUUCGUCUUCUUUCCGGAGAUACCUUCUGUCGUCGUAGUUUGUAUUUUGUGCCUUGAUAGAGUCGUCUGUCUAAUACAGGAGAUACUAAGGUGUGUCUCUUUGAUGUUAUAACAAGAAUAUGUUUUGUUUUCAUGAUUAUUGGAAUUUUAUGAUCUUCUAGUUCUACUGCUGCUGUAAUUAUUUUUCUUGUUAAAUGUGUUACUGAUAAAUACUCCCUCUUUUCCUUUUUAAUUGAUGUCUUAAGACUAAGCACAAGAAAUGUAAUUAAUGCUUUAUCUAAUUUAAUAAAUUGGGUAUAAACUAUCAAUUAUCACCCUUCUAAAAUUUAUUAGCAAGAUGAGAGAAAAGAUGGAAAGUUAUCCCAUUAGAGUAAAUUAGUUCAAAAGAUGAGAGGGAAACAAAUUUGUAUUAAUAAUUAGGGAUAUAUAUAUAAGAAUCUACAAACCACAUAUAAAAAGGAACAAAAAUUUCUCUUAAAAAAGACAAUUGAAAAGGAACAGAGAGAGUGCUUUUAAUUUGUGUCGGAAAAUUCUAUAUAUGUUUGCCUUAAAAUUAUGAGCAAUAAAUGGAGAGUUCUUCCUUUGAUGAUAAUAAACUACUGUAGCCAUAUCCUCUCAUUCAACUAAAUGAUAAUAAAUGGAGAAUUCUAUACAUGUUUGCUUUUAGAUGGUGAUUUUUGUCUAUUGUUUUAGUUUUCAGGUUCUACAUUUUUUGGUUUUUGUGUGACCUGUCACAUUCUAUGGCGUCUUAAUUGUAAUACUAGCUUUUUGGGGGUACCAGGUAAAAGAAUGCUAAUAAAACAUAUAUAUAAAGUAAGGGCUGCAUAGAUGCAACUAUGGGUAGUUGCUUAAGUAGUCCUUAUGUAACGAAUCAUAUGCUUUCAUUAAAUUAAGGCACAUUUAGAUGUUCUUGAUCUUUAUAGUAAUUGUUAAAAGUGAUACUUUCAUUAUCCUGUAUUGAACUCUAAUUUCAUUUUUCUUUCACCUGUACAUCCAUUUAUUGUGCCAAUAUCUGCACAUGCUUAUUGUUUUAGAGCUUGCUUGCCGUAUUUCCUAACCUAUAAGCUUGAUGAUGCAGAAUUUGUAUAAUUCAAAAGUCAGGAAAGUGGUGGUGGCACUAAUUCAAGGUCAGUGCAGUAUAGAUUUUUGUGAAAGGGAAAAUUAGCAGCUUAUGAUGUAACAUUCCAUAUUUUUUGAAAGAUUUUGUUGGCAAAUAAUGGUACAAAGUUUUUUUUAUUGUUAUUUUGUUGUCUUUUCUCAUAGUUUCAUAUAAUAUCUGAAUUUACACGUCUUUUUUUAUGAUGUAAUGUUUUGGUAAAAUUGCAUAGCAAGAAAAUUAGUGUACGACAACAAGACAGGUAAUUUUGUCUUUGAUGGAUGCUAAAUAAUUUCAUUUUGUUUUGCCAUCAUUUAAUUCGUCUAUUCUAUUGAAAAUGGAUUUAGAAAGUUGGGUAUAACUCCUGAAGAUCAAAAGAAGUUCAGCCAUAAUGUAGUAUACUUUUUCUUUUGGAAAAGCAACUACCAAUCUCAUACUUAAUUCUUGUCCCUAAAAGAUUGAAGCACAAUCUUUAUAAUUGUGCUUUAUAAAUUAUAAGUAUCAAACACACAAG